AGAGUUUGAUCAUGGCUCAGGACGAACGCUGGCGGCGUGCCUAAUACAUGCAAGUCGAGCGCAGGAAGCAGACUGAAUCCUUCGGGAGGACGUCUGUGGAAUGAGCGGCGGAUGGGUGAGUAUCACGUGGGUAACCUGCCUGUAAGCUUGGGAUAACUCCGGGAAACCGGUGCUAAUACCAAAUAAUAUUUCUGUUCGCAUGAACGGAAAAUAAAAGGCGGCUUUUGCUGUCACUUACAGAUGGACCCGCGUCGCAUUAGCUAGUUGGUGGGGUAAAGGCUCACCAAAGCAACGAUGCGUAGCCGACCUGAGAGGGUGAUCGGCCACACUGGGACUGAGACACGGCCCAGACUCCUACGGGAGGCAGCAGUAGGGAAUCUUCCGCAAUGGACGAAAGUCUGACGGAGCAACGCCGCGUGAGUGAUGAAGGUUUUCGGAUCGUAAAACUCUGUUGUUAGGGAAGAAUAAGUACUAACCGAAUAAGUUGGUACCCUGACGGUACCUAACCAGAAAGCCCCGGCUAACUACGUGCCAGCAGCCGCGGUAAUACGUAGGGGGCAAGCGUUGUCCGGAAUUAUUGGGCGUAAAGGGCGCGCAGGCGGUUUCUUAAGUCUGAUGUGAAAUCUUGUGGCUUAACCACAAGCGGUCAUUGGAAACUGGGAGACUUGAGUGCAGAAAAGGAAAGUGGAAUUCACGUGUAGCGGUGAAUGCGUA
rnacentral:rRNA from 1 species